UACGGGGGGAGCAAGCGUUGUUCGGAUUUACUGGGCGUAAAGGGCGCGUAGGCGGCGCAACAAGUCACUUGUGAAAUCUCCGGGCUUAACCCGGAGCGGCCAAGUGAUACUGUCGUGCUAGAGUGCGGAAGGGGCUACUGGAAUUCUCGGUGUAGCGGUGAAAUGCGUAUAUAUCGAGAGGAACACCUGCGGCGAAGGCGGGUAGCUGGGCCGACACUGACGCUGAGGCGCGAAAGCCAGGGGAGCGAACGGG
rnacentral:rRNA from 1 species